GUGCAGCCGCCGCGGUAAUACGGAGGGUGCGAGCGUUAAUCGGAAUUACUGGGCGUAAAGGGCGCGUAGGCGGUCGCGCAAGUCGGGUGUGAAAGCCCCGGGCUCAACCUGGGAAUUGCAUUCGAUACUGCGUAACUAGAGUCUGGUAGAGGGAAGCGGAAUUCCGCAUGUAGCGGUGAAAUGCGUAGAUAUGCGGAGGAACACCAGUGGCGAAGGCGGCUUCCUGGACCAAGACUGACGCUGAGGCGCGAAAGCGUGGGGAGCAAACAGGAUUAGAUACCCUGGUAGUCCACGCCCUAAACGAUGAGGACUAGACGUUGGGGGGAUAAAACCCUUUAGUGUCGCAGCUAACGCGUGAAGUCCUCCGCCUGGGGAGUACGGCCGCAAGGUUGAAACUUAAAUGAAUUGGCGG
rnacentral:rRNA from 1 species